ACGAACGCUGGCGGCGUGCUUAACACCUGCAAGUCGAACGAGAGCGUAGAGAAAGCUUGCUUUUUCUACAAUCUAGUGGCAAACGGGUGAGUAACGCGUAAACAACCUGCCCUACGGAUGGGGACAACAGCUGGAAACGGCUGCUAAUACCGAAUACGUUCCGAAAGUCGCAUGACUAUCGGAAGAAAGGAUGGCCUCUAUUUAUAAGCUAUCGCCGGAGGAGGGGUUUGCGUCUGAUUAGCUAGUUGGUGGGGUAACGGCCCACCAAGGCGACGAUCAGUAGCCGGUCUGAGAGGAUGAACGGCCACAUUGGGACUGAGACACGGUCCAGACUCCUACGGGAGGCAGCAGUGGGGAAUCUUCCGCAAUGGGCGAAAGCCUGACGGAGCAACGCCGCGUGAGUGAAGACGGCCUUCGGGUUGUAAAGCUCUGUUAUACGGGACGAAUAAUCUUGUGGUUAAUACCCAUGAGAAGUGACGGUACCGUAAGAGAAAGCCACGGCUAACUACGUG
rnacentral:rRNA from 1 species